GACGAACGCUGGCGGCGUGCUUAACACAUGCAAGUCGAACGGAAAGGCCCUGCUUUUGUGGGGUGCUCGAGUGGCGAACGGGUGAGUAACACGUGAGUAACCUGCCCUUGACUUUGGGAUAACUUCAGGAAACUGGGGCUAAUACCGGAUAGGAGCUCCUGCCGCAUGGUGGGGGUUGGAAAGUUUCGGCGGUUGGGGAUGGACUCGCGGCUUAUCAGCUUGUUGGUGGGGUAGUGGCUUACCAAGGCUUUGACGGGUAGCCGGCCUGAGAGGGUGACCGGCCACAUUGGGACUGAGAUACGGCCCAGACUCCUACGGGAGGCAGCAGUGGGGAAUAUUGCACAAUGGGCGGAAGCCUGAUGCAGCAACGCCGCGUGCGGGAUGACGGCCUUCGGGUUGUAAACCGCUUUCGCCUGUGACGAAGCGUGAGUGACGGUAAUGGGUAAAGAAGCGCCGGCUAACUACGUG
rnacentral:rRNA from 1 species